GUGCUUGCUUUGGCAGCAUAUAAAAUUGGAACGAUACAGAGAAGAUUAGCAUGGCCCCUGAGCAAGGAUGACACACAAAUUCGUGAUGUGUCCCGUAUUUUU
ensembl:snRNA U6 U6 spliceosomal RNA